AGUUUGAUCCUGGCUCAGAUUGAACGCUGGCGGCAUGCCUUACACAUGCAAGUCGAACGGCAGCACGGAGCUUGCUCUGGUGGCGAGUGGCGAACGGGUGAGUAAUAUAUCGGAACGUACCCUAGAGUGGGGGAUAACGUAGCGAAAGUUACGCUAAUACCGCAUACGAUCUAAGGAUGAAAGUGGGGGAUCGCAAGACCUCAUGCUCGUGGAGCGGCCGAUAUCUGAUUAGCUAGUUGGUAGGGUAAAAGCCUACCGAGGCAUCGAUCAGUAGCUGGUCUGAGAGGACGACCAGCCACACUGGAACUGAGACACAGUUCAGACUCCUACGGGAGGCAGCAGUGGGGAAUUUUGGACAAUGGGCGAAAGCCUGAUCCAGCAAUGCCGCGUGAGUGAAGAAGGCCUUCGGGUUGUAAAGCUCUUUUGUCAGGGAAGAAACGGUGAAAGCUAAUAUCUUUUGCUAAUGACGGUACCUGAAGAAUAAGCACCGGCUAACUACGUGCCAGCAGCCGCGGUAAUACGUAGGGUGCAAGCGUUAAUCGGAAUUACUGGGCGUAAAGCGUGCGCAGGCGGUUUUGUAAGUCUGAUGUGAAAUCCCCGGGCUCAACCU
rnacentral:rRNA from 1 species